ACUGAUUAGUUGCAACAGUGCACUUUACGACAUGAAAUCUACGAGAAGCCCUCGUUUUCUUGCUGUUAAUACCAUGAACUUGUGGUCUAAAUCAACCUUUCUAUGCUCCGGCCUUUUGUUUCGUUGUGCUGAUAAUUGAGCCUCAAAUGUUCGACGAAAUGUCGACCCGAGUUUGCAUAAAAAAAGGGUUGCUGACCGUAAUGGGUACCCACAUAGUGAAGUUUCUAUGCAAUAAUAAACACCCAUUUGGUGUUUCCAUGUCUGUUAGAUCAAAAACCACGUCUUCCCAGUAUGUAGCAUCGAGAGCUAGAGACCCUACGUUUGAGAAGCUCAUGGAUAAGUACAAGAACCUUCUCAAAGUCAUUGCCAUUCAAGACCUCAUCCUUGCAAACCCCAAGAACCCAUCAGUCUCAGUUGAUUUCCUCUCCAGGCUCUCCCAGAAGCUCCACCUCAACCGCGGCGCCACUGCCUUUCUCCGCAAGUAUCCUCAUGUCUUCCACAUUUACUAUGAGCCAUCCAAGUUGCAGCCAUUUUGCAGGUUAACUGAUGCUGCUUUUGCUGUUUCAAGGCUGGAAGCAGAAGCCAUUAAUGGUUAUUUGCCUAUUGUUGUUGAGAGGCUUGUUCGGAUAUUGUCCAUGUCUGCAUCCAAAAUGGUGCCUCUCCGAGCUAUUUUCAAGGUUUGGAGGGAGCUUGGGCUGCCUGAUGAUUUUGAGGAAUCGGUUAUAUCUGCUAAUUCCAGGAUUUUUCAGCUGUGUGAUGCCCAUGAACCGAAUACUCAUAUGUUGAAGCUGGUUGAUGGUCAUCCCAGCAAUGGUUUUAGAGCGGCUGUUGAGGAUUGGAGGGUUGUUGAGUGCUGUAAGGAGGAAUGCAGUGUUGAUAGGAUGGAAAUGAGAUUCAGUUUCAAACAUGGAUAUCCUCCAGGGAUGAGGUUGAGCAAGAAUUUCAAGGCCAAGGUGAAGGAAUGGCAGAGUUUGCCAUAUGUGGGGCCUUAUGAGUUGGUGAAUGAGAAGAAGAAAUCUAAGGCUGGAAUGAUGGCUAUAGAGAAGCGAGCUGUGUCGGUUGUUCAUGAGUUCCUGAGUUUGACAGUGGAGAAGAUGGUGGAAGUUGAGAAGAUCAGCCAUUUUAGAAAAUGGUUUGGGAUUGAUUUAAAUGUAAGGGAUCUUUUUCUGGAUCACCCGGGGAUCUUCUAUUUGUCAACUAAAGGGAAACGGCAUACUGUUUUCCUGAGGGAAGCUUAUGAACGAGGGUGUUUGAUUGAACCAAAUCCUGUCUAUGAUGCAAGGAGAAGGCUACUUGAUCUUGUUGUUUUAGAACGUCGGGGUCUGCCUGCUGUUAAUUCUAAGUUGCAGGAUAGCAGCAGCAAUGAGGUUCGACAAGAGGACAACCAGCAAAUACAUGACUUGAUAUCAUCUUAACUACGGCUUUGUUAAGGUGACUUGUUUAUUUGCUUUUCCAUGUCCAGGGUUGCUUAUUUUUCGUACGUGUUGCUGUUGGCAUAUAAGUACCAAGAAUGCAAAGCGAGUUCUGACAACAUUCUAUCUACAUAAUUAACAUUUUGGGCACGAAAGUUCAUCUGGGAAGGGCAUGGCAGUCUACACUUCUCGAGGAACUAGCUUGUGAAUCACUUCUAGAUGCUGGAAUAAUGGAGAGGGUCAACAUGUAAUCCGCCCUGGUAAAACUUCAUGAUACACGAAAAUGGCAAAGAUCUCUGAAUUCAAGGGAUGUUGGACACCACUGUGCCAAUAUCAAUUAUAACGAUAAACUUGCUCUGUUUGUGCUACCUCUCCCAGAACUUUACUAAACAAAAGAUAUGUAUUCUUUAAUCUUUACUUUGCCUUGUGGAUCAAAAAUUAUAAUUGUUGGUUUUG